rnacentral:lncRNA from 1 species
GUCCUACAAGCCCUUCAUCUGUACCAAGAAAAGCUAUGCAAGAUAUUUGGCACCAUAACCGCCACCCAGCAUUUCUUCAGUAAGGUUCAUCACCUGAUCACCCUAAUGACGUCAAGGCAUCCCGGAGAAGCCCUGCGACCACAUUCUUCUCAUGCGACAGAGCUCAAGGAAUUUUUGUUGUACUUGAAUCAAUGGGAGAAGCAUGCGAAUGGCAAAGGGGGAUUCAUAAGUGAUUCUACAGCGACAGGGUUACGCGUCAUCAUAUCAAGCACGCUCGAAUUGCUUGCCUACUUAACCGAGAAGGUUGGGUAUAAGUAUCUGAUGACUUCAAGAAUUAGCCAAGAUAAACUUCAGAACCUUUUUGGAAUUGUGAGACAAGCCUGUGGAAGCAAUGACCACCCUACGCCAUCCCAGUUCUUGGUCAUUGUAAACUGUCUCUCCUUUUAUGGCCUCGUGAAAGCAAUCAGCCAUGGGAACUGUGAAGUGGAUACACUGGCCUCCUUGCUAGAAGUCAGCUCAGGUGAUGAUAUGCAACCCGACAACCCUGACCGUCCCAGCCUUGAUGCAACCAGCUCGGCAGCACAGACAUCUUUGCCAGCACAAGCAUUUGUGUCUGACCACAAACAGCAUGUAGUUAGCAGUGAUUCUCGGCUAAUAUUUCAUAUUGCAGUGUAUGUUGCACGUCGAUGUGUGAUGAAAAUAGGAUGCCAAGGUUGCAUGUCACUCCUCACAAUGCCAUCUCCAGAUGAUGACUUCCAACUCGCUCGGUUAACACAUUUUCUUGAUAAAGGGGGACUGCUGUACCCGUCUAGUGUG